UACGUAGGUGGCAAGCGUUGUCCGGAAUUAUUGGGCGUAAAGCGCGCGCAGGCGGCCUUUUAAGUCUGAUGUGAAAGCCCUCGGCUCAACCGGGGAAGGUCAUUGGAAACUGAGAGGCUUGAGUACAGAAGAGGAAAGCGGAAUUCCACGUGUAGCGGUGAAAUGCGUAGAGAUGCGGAGGAACACCGAUGGCGAAGGCAGCCCCCUGGGCCAACACUGACGCUCAGGCACGAAAGCGUGGGGAGCAAACAGG
rnacentral:rRNA from 1 species